rnacentral:lncRNA from 1 species
GGGGGGGUGACAUAAGUGAUUCAAGACUGUCUUUCUUACCCCCUUCUGUAUCUCUUUUCUUAAUAUGAUGUUAAAUCCAGGUACUACGAUUACUCCCCUAAUUUUUGGUUCUUAUGAAGGUGCUUUUUUGUGUGGAUAGUUGUUGAAUUUGGUGUUCCUGUUGCGGAGACCAUCGCUGGAGGGUUCUAUUCGGCCGUCUUGCUCCAUCUCCUGAAGCCUGACUUUUUUGAGCAUGCCCUAACACUAAAGGAAGCCAAAAGAUUGAACACCCCUGUCGUAGAUGGUAAUGAGUCCUGGAUGAAAAAGCCUGCACCCAGCUCUCUUCCUGAUACUCUAAGUUGCAGGGAAGGCUGAAGCUUCUAGCAAUGGGAAGGAGGAGGUGGCCUUCAGUAUGGACUGGCAUUCACUGAGAUAUUGCUUGCACCAUCUGCUCUUUGGACAUCACACCUUUAGCCCAGUGUCUUUGUUUCCUCUUUGGUAUCAGAUUAGCAUGUCCAUGUACUCUGUGUAUCCCUCAUCCCAACCAAAAGCUCCUUCAGAUCCACUGGGGCCCUUUAUAUCACUCCCUUGAUAUAUCCAGAAGUAAGGCAAACUUCCCUUCUGUGUGUGUGCAGGAGAGUUAGACAAAUGUGAAAGCCCUCUUUGGCCCCAUCGUCUCCCCUGUUUUGUUGCUGCACCGUGCUGUCUGGACUGUCUUUAAGAGAACCAGCCAGGUGAGUACUGUAUUCUUAAAAAUCUAUUGUCUUACUGUAAAGCUACAGUAAUCAAGGCAGUGUGGCAUCUGGUGAAAAAAACAGACAAAGAGACAAAUGAAACAGAAUAGAGAGUCCAGAAACGGACCUGCAUGAUUGGUCACCUGAUUUUUGGCAAAGUAACAAAGGCAAUUCAAUGGAGAAAAUGUGGUGCUUUUUUGUUUUGUUUUGUUUGUUUUUUCAACAAAUGUUGCUAGAACAACUGGAACAUCUACAUGCAAAAAUAAAAAUAAAAAUAAAAUUUAAAAAAGACCCAUCUAGAUAAAGCCCUUACACUCUUCACAAAAAUUAACUAAAAAUGGAUCACAGACUUACAUAUAAAACACAAAACAAUAAAAUUCCUACAAGAUACCAUAAAAGAAAACCUAAUUGACCUUGGGUAUGGAGAUGACUUUUAAGAUACAAAACUACAGGCAUGACACAUGAAAGAAAUAAUUGAUAAGCUGGGCUUCAUUAAAAUUAAAAACUUCUCCUCUGUGAAGGACAAUGUCAAGGGAAUGAGAAGACAAGCUACAGACUGGGAGAAAAUAUUUGCAAAAGAGACGUCUGAUAAAGGACUAUUAUCCAAAAUAUACUAAAAACCCUUCAAGCUCAGCAAACAACCCAAUUAAGAAUAAGAAAACAAACAACCCAACUAAAAAUGGGCAAGGCUUGGCACUGUGGCUCAUGCCUGUCAUCCCAGCACUUUGGGAGGCCAAGACAGGUGGAUCAGUUGAGGUCAGGAGUUCAAGACCAGCCUGGCCAACAUGGUGAAACCCUGUCUCUAUUAAAAAUACAUAAAUUAGCCAGGCAUGGUGGGAUGCACCUGUAGUCCCAGCUACUUGGGAGGCUGAGGCAGGAGAACCGCUCAAAUCUAGGAGGCAGAGGUUGCAGUGAGCUGAGAUAGCACCACUGCACUCCAGCCUGGGUGACAGAGUGAGACUCCAUCUCAAAAAAAAAAAAAAAAAAAAAAAAAAAAGGGCAAAAGACCUAAACAGAGAUCUCACCAAAAAAGGUAUACAUAUGGCAAAUAAGCAUAUGAAAAGAUGUUCUACAUCAUAUCUCAUCAGAGAAAUACAAAUUAAAACAACAUUGAGAUAUGACUGCAAACCUAUUAAAAUGGCCAAAAUGCAAAACACUGACAACACCAAAUGCUGGUGAGACAAGACAACAGAAACUCCCAUUUAUUGCUGGUGGAAUUGCAAACUGGUACAGCCAAUUUGGAAGACAGUUUGGUAUUUUCUUACAAAACUAAACAUAGCCGUACCGUAUGAUCUGACAAUUAUACUUAUUAGUAUUUACCCAAACGAAUUGAAAAAUUAUGUCCACACAAAAAUCCGCACACAGAUGUUUAUAGUAGCUUUACUUAUAAUUGUUAAAACUUAAAAGCAACCAAAACGUCCUUAAGUAGGUGAAUGGAUAAACUGUAGUAUAUCUAGACAAUGGAAUAUUAUUUACCUCUAGAAGGAAAUGAGCUAUCAAGCCAUGAAAUGACAUAGAGGAAUUUAAAUGCAUAUUGCUAAAUGAGAGAAGUCAAUCUGAGCAGGCCACAUACUGUAUGAUUCUAAUUACAGUAUAUGACAUUCUAGAAAAGACAAAACUAUGGAGACAGUAAAAAGAUUAGUGGCUGGCAGAGGUUGUGGGGAGGGAGGAGUGAAUAGACAGAGCACAGAGGAUUUUUAGGGCAGUGAAAUUACUCUGUAUGAUACCAAAACGGUGGAUACAUGUCUUUAUACAUCUAUCAAAACCCUUAGAACAUACAACACCAGGAGUGAGCCCUAAUGUAAACUGUGGACUUUGGGUGACAAUCAUAUGUCAAUGUAAGUUCAUCCAUUGUACCACUCUAGUGGGGGAUGCCGGUAGUGGAGGAGGUUCUGUGUAAGUUGGGAUAGGAGCUAUGUGGGAACCCUAUACUUUCUGCUUGAUGUUGCUGUGAACCUAAAACUGCUCUAAAACACAAAGCUUAUUAAUUAAAAAAAAAAAAUCUAUUGUCUGGCCCAGAAACUUGGCUCUGGCUUGAGUAAUGAAAAAAUCUCUUCCUUCAAGGCUAUUGUUUCUGCUACAUGUUUAGAAUAUGUAUUUAGCAAUUCCAAGUAGAGAGUCGACCUUCUGACCUUUCCUGCUAUCUCUGUGAUCUCUUGUAUCAGAGGUUCCAACGUGAAAAACUAUAUGACCCAAAUAUGCAUCCGCAAUAUAUUUUUAUGUUUGAGUUCAUUUUUUAUAUUUUAAAUCCAAGAUGUUUCUUUUCCAAUAAGAGGAGCCAGAGCUUCUUGGAGAAGUUGCUGAUUCCAGGGCUAGGGCGAGGAAAGCAGAAGAUGAGCCUCUGAAACAUGUUGCCAUCCCAGAAAAUAAGGAAGUGCUCAAAAUAGGAUGAGGCAUGACAAAAGCACAUCACAGCCAAGCCAAUUGGAAGGCACUCCCAAUGGGCAAAUCGAGAACAAUUUGAGCAACAAAAUAACAAUAAUAAUAAUGGAUUGUAACCCAUAAAAUAAAAUAAAUAUCCAUACUAAUAUAAAUAAUUGAAUAAAUAAAUAAACAGGGGAAAGGGAUAGGACAGCUUUUCCUUACAGAGGAAUUCUAAUUAAUAAAUGUAGAAUGAAUGCAGGAAAUACAUCACCACUAGGCAGAUAUUACAUUAAACAGUAAUCAUUGUAGGCAAGAUCCACUGACAGAUGUUAAAAUCAGUGGACUAAAGUUUAAUAGGAAACAGGAUACUUGUAGCUUCAAAGUAUUGUCCCCAAACUAUUGGUUUAUUAGGUAAAAAAAAAAAAAAUGAAAACUUUACAAUGGAAAAACAUGGCAGACACCAUCUUAACUGAAUGAUCAAAGUAAGCAUCACCACUGAUAGGACAUAUUGACAUCAUGUACCCCCCAAUAUGAUGCACUGAGAUGGGCACAGCAUCACUUUUGUGGUAUUUUUGCAAAAAAAUGCAAAAAUCUCAACUUAAUCAUGAGAAAAUAGAAACACUCUACAAAAUAAUUGACAAGUAGUCAUCUAAAAUGUUAAAGUCUAACAUUUAAGUCUUUAAUUCAUCUUGAAUUAAUUUUUGUAUAAGGUGU